rnacentral:rRNA from 1 species
CAGUAGCCGCGGUAACACGGAGGGGGCUAGCGUUGUUCGGAAUUACUGGGCGUAAAGCGCACGUAGGCGGCUUGGUAAGUUAGAGGUGAAAGCCCGGGGCUCAACCCCGGAACUGCCUUUGAAACUAGGUGACUAGAAUCUUGGAGAGGUCAGUGGAAUUCCGAGUGUAGAGGUGAAAUUCGUAGAUAUUCGGAAGAACACCAGUGGCGAAGGCGACUGACUGGACAAGUAUUGACGCUGAGGUGCGAAAGCGUGGGGAGCAAACAGGAUUAGAUACCCCCGUAGUCCCUGUCUCUUAUAC